ensembl:lncRNA
AAAACACCAAUUUCAAUUGUACAGAUAAAGACAAGCCUGUGUUUCAUGAGAACAAUUGCACAUUUUAUUGUACAAUUUUGAAUACAUCUCAGAAACACAAUGGAACGUUUAAAUUUCGGGUACAACGGACAACUGGUACUGGACAAAAAGAAUUCUUGGUGACCAUAGCGGCCCGUGCUCCUCAUGUUAGCGCAGGGUCGCGGGGGAACCUGGAGCCAAUCCCAGGGAGCAUCGGGCACAAGGCCGGGUACACCCUGGACAGGGUGCCAAUCCAUCACAGGGCACAAUCACGUACACAUUCACACACUCAUUCAUACACUACGGACACUUUAGACAUGCCAAUCAGCCUACCAUGUAGGUCUUUGGACUGGGGGAGGAAACCCCCGUAGCACAGGGAGAACAUGCAAACUCCACACACACGGCCCCGGUGGAAAUCGGACCCCGGAUCCUGGAGGUGUGAGGCGAAUGUGCUAACCACUAAGAUUUUAUUAAGAAUUAAGGUUUUAUUCAGCAUGCACAUGGACAUAAAAGCCAGAUGUUGGAAGCAAACAGCCAAAUAGCGUUCAAGAUGUGGGGGGAAAGCAGAUGUGAAUACUUCUGGUUGAAGAGCAAGAAGUCAUUUUUUCAUAAAUAUGAAUUUAAACCCACACUAACCGUAAAAAAGCAACACCAUUGUAGCUCAGGAAAAUCGCUGAUUGUGUAAAUGUCGAAGUUUAUUUUUAGAGGCUCACAAUGAGAAUAAACUGAUUGUAAACUUACAACCCCAACAUAUUUCAUGUUAUUUCAUUUAAUAUAAAUAUAGAUUUUUUUAAAUUAAAUAUUAAUAAAAAAU